rnacentral:rRNA from 1 species
UGAGGAAUAUUGCGCAAUGGAGGAAACUCUGACGCAGCCAUGCCGCGUGCAGGAAUAAGGCCCUAUGGGUUGUAAACUGCUUUUAUACGGGAAGAACUAUAUCUACGUGUAGAUAUUUGACGGUACCGUACGAAUAAGGAUCGGCUAACUCCGUGCCAGCAGCCGCGGUAAUACGGAGGAUCCAAGCGUUAUCCGGAUUUAUUGGGUUUAAAGGGUCCGCAGGCGGAAUAUUAAGUCAGUGGUGAAAUCCUACAGCUUAACUGUAGAACUGCCAUUGAUACUGGUUUUCUUGAGUACACCUGAAGUGGGCGGAAUGUGUCAUGUAGCGGUGAAAUGCUUAGAUAUGACACAGAACACCAAUUGCGAAGGCAGCUCACUAAAGUGUAACUGACGCUGAGGGACGAAAGCGUGGGUAGCGAACAGG